AAAUUUCGGUUUAAUAAAUAUAGUUUUACAAAUUGUUUAACUUAUAAAAUAAUAUGAUGGGCUUAAACCUGACAAACUCGCUGAAUUGAGAGAAUGAAAUAUAUAAAUGAAUAUAUGUUUAUAUCCAAUUGAACAUUGCCUGAUUCAAGACAAGGCAAGACAAGACAUCUUUUUCUAUCUUGAUGGAGUCAUCCUAACUAAAUAAAUACUGUUAUUAUAAUACUUUCAAAUGGCUUAUUAUUUACACAUUAUAAAUUUGAGAAACACCUCUAUUUUU